UAACCAUGAUGCAUACACAAGCUAAGUAACUCUUUAAAAUGUUCCCAUGCUUGAUACAAAGUCACACUAUUCUUUUGUGUAAAAGUUGAGAUUUGCCUUUUCAAAAC